ensembl:lncRNA
UUAUGGAUCCCUCCUCAACCAGCCAGGACAGCCAGUCUUAAGGAACACCUUGUAAACUAGUAUUGUCUGGAGUACAGUACAGCACCCCUGUCUGUUGUUGUCACGGUGCCAGAGGGAGAGCUAGGAGGCUCCUCUUCGCCCCCGUCCAUCUGCCCCCUCCCUGGAGCAUGCAGGAAGGGUGGACAGAGCAGAGCUGAGCUGAGGGAGAGCCUGGAGCCUGGCCCUGCCUAGAGGAGUGGAGGGACUUAGAGGAGCUACACCUGAGCAGGCAUACGGAGUAGAGCGACCAGCACAUCCAGCAGUAUGGGGGCAUCUUAUUCAAAGAAGAAGACGUAUAACAUCAACCAACAGCAGCAGCAGCAGCAGCAGCAGUGUGUGAAAAACGGAAAGCACAGGAAUGGCAGAGGUACGUCUGGCCCUCUCCGGUUACUGUCUCAUGGAACAAUAACAUGCCUGGGAAGUAAACCCAAGCAACUCUGAGUUACCAUCUUGUGUUAUCACUACCUCUCAUUGUACACAGCGGAGUAAUGGACCUGGCCCUCCAAUCACUGUGACCAUACCAGCCAGGUAGAGGUACUUCCGCACACUUGGCACGUUUGGCUGUCCACUGGUCUGGUUACACUGUUUGUGUUAUGUAUAAAAAAACGUUUUUUAAAGGGCUCAAAGCAACCAGUAAGAACCUUAAGAGUCUUAAAAGAGUCUUACAAUUUAGUGCCUGUGCUAACAUGAUAAACUCUGAUUACGUUGAUUUUGUGAAAGGGAUUUUGUGGAACUCGACAUAAACUAAAGUGUCCAACUUUGAGAUCAACAUGUCUUGGAGAGUUUUCAUCAGAGUGCUGAAGAGAUUUACAUUUCUUCCUAAUCCCAUGUCUUACUUUGUUGACAAAUUUUGGAUAUUUUUUAUCAAAAGCAUUAUUUAUAACUAACAAAUAAGUCAGUGAACACCUUGUCACUCAGUUAUUUUCUAUAGUGGUAAGUGCACCUCUCUUUGUCAGGAAAAAAAUAUCCCAUUGAUACUGACAUCCCUCAUAAUCUCUAUCUAGCUAACACUGUAUACAUUCUACAUCCCCUUAAAGCAGAGGCAUUGGGAAAGCCAUGUGUAGAUGAACAGCCCAGUGUGCUCUCUCCCAGUACUGCCAGCCUGGCUACUGUACUACACUGCUGAGUAUGAAAGCACCCAGAUGAUUUAUGGUUAAUAUGAGCAUUAGGCGAGAGAGCUUAAGCCUUCUGCUAAUCCUACCAGCUACAGACCACUGAGGAUCAGAGAGAGGGAGAGAGAGAGGAGUGAGAGUGUGAGUGAGAAAGAGGGGAUAGAGUGGAAGAUUGAGAGAGAAAAGAGAGGGAAGGAAAAAAUAAAGAAAGAAAGAAAGAAUGGAGGAGAGAACUAGAGAGAUUGAGAGUAGGGGAGAGAGGGAAAGUGAGAGCAUAGAGAAAAAGACAAAAGAAAAAGAGGGAGAGAGAGUAUCUAACAGCAGGCUAGAGACAGAGGGGAGAGGCAAUAGAUAGAGUAAUAAUAUUAGAGAGAGAGAGAGAGAGUGAGAGAGAGAGAGAGAGAGAGAGAGAGAGAGAGAGAGAGAGAGAGAGUGCGAGGGGUGUGAGAGAGGGAGGGGCGGGCAGUGGAAUGCCUGGGGGUCAUGUGACUGUUUACUCUAGCCUGGGCAGAGAAGCAUGCUUAAAGGAGUGCUGAAGCAGGACACACACAGAUACACCCGGACACAGAGAGAGGGAGAC